rnacentral:lncRNA from 1 species
AUGAUUUUUUGGGUUGGCCCAGCCUAUGUACACCCCUAGAUAAAUAUCUACAAUUUAUUUUUAAGAGAGAUAUUCACCUAAAACGAGAUAAAAAGUUUUUCAUACUUUAUUAAGUUUAGCAACACACAAAGGCUCAAGUUUAUGUGAAAGAUAUGUUACAAUAUAUUUGUAUGACUCAUUUUUUUUUGGUAGAAAAUUCAAAACAAAGGAAAAAAAAAACAAAAAAAAUAAAGCAGCUAAACACUAAGCCUUAUGGUACUGCUCUCACUUGUUGAUAGAGAUUAUUAUAUGGAACUCCUCGAAGGAUUUAAUUUCCGUUAGACAUACUAUUAAAACUAUUGAAGAGAUGACAUCAUUUGUCCAUUUUAAAUAUUUGAAAAUAAGUUUGCUAUAAUGAAUUUUAUGAUGGUGAUAUACAUAUUAUUAAAACUCCUGAAGAUAUUCUAAAAUAUGUUAAUUAUAGAAAGGUUUGAAAUGAAAUAUGUUGGAUGCGCAAAGUUUGUUUGGAUUUGUAAAUUUAUUAUUUAAAUGAGAUUUUGUGCAUCACUAAACUUAUAUAGAAAAUGUGUUAAAAUAAUUUGAUAUGGACAAUCUAUUUGAUUAUGUACUAGAAUGAUUAUGAUGUCACUUGAUGUGAGUAAAGAUAAUGUCCUCAAAAAAAUGAUGAACAACUUAACUUGGUUUUGAAGUACCAUUCAUGUCUUGGUUUAAAUGAAAACGCCGAUGUAUUUUGAUAAUUAUAUAUAUCAUGGUAUCACUAUUAGAAAAAGAAAAAUUAGGGAGGAAAAUUAAUGACGGAAAAAAAUAAAAUUCCUCACAAAUUCCAUGGUCGCAAAAUUUUGUGACGGAAUUAGAGAGGGAUUUCACGUUUUCCCUCUCUAAAUUUCCCUCACUAAUUUUUGCUUUUUUAGUAGUGUAUUUUAUGCUUGUCAAUAUUAGUAAACACAUAUAUUUGAACAAUGUCAAAGCAUGAAAUUUAUAUUUUAGAGAAACAACAAUUUCAGUUGAUCAUUUGAAAAUGUUAGCACUACAUCAAUGAAGUGGGAAAUGUUAUUUUAUAAAAGAUUCUGAUUUUACACAUACAAGAAACUUGUGUUUUUUUAAGGAGACUCUUACAAGAAAUCAAUGUGAAGAUGAUAUCUCAAACAAUAGUAAUUUUGAGUAGAGUAUAAUAAAGGAGAUAGAGCACAUCUUCCUACAAAGUCAUUGCCACAUAAAACUUUUGAGUAACUAGUACAGAAGAUUCGUUGACAUUUUUCAUCUAAU